AUCAAAGCAUGUGCGGUAAUCUAU
rnacentral:siRNA from 1 species